ACCUCCCCCGCCGCACCUCUCACACUAACCCUACCCACAGCGGCUCAACCUCUGGCCGCCCCGCCGCCAUUGGCCGAGGCCAGCUCGUGCCCCGCCCCCCUCAGCACCCGGCCUUGGAGAAGGAGACGUGUCAUUGGCUAAUCUGUACGUCCAUCACAUGGGCCCCACCCCCUAGCUCAGGCGUGUUCCCCGCCCCCCCCUCCGCCCCCAGACAGAACGCAGCGUACGGCCAGCCGAAACCUUCUCUUAAAAAAAAAAAAAGAAAACCACUAAGGACGAUCCCGCCCAUCCCUCUGAUUGGAUUAGAGAGGAUAGCGAUGGGCGGGAGGACUAAGGAGUGUUUAUAGUGAGCUAGAAGAUGGUUGAUGAAGAUCAAGAAUUAAAAGAAACCAAAAUGUAAUAGAGUGAAGAUUGUGGGGACAAAGGAACCCUCCUGCACUGCUGCAUUUUCAGACACCAAGUUGCAGGCACUACCAUGACACCAAAAUGACUUCCCCGGGCAGACAACCUUACCAAAGUAUCCUGGAAUCUCACCUCUCCAGAGCCCAACCCCACUAAGGAAAGAUAGAAACAGUCUGGGAAUAUGGACUGACCUGACAAUGCCCAUGUUCAGUGGAGAAGUAAUUACAGAAGCUAGACCUUCCACCUUCUGCACCCCAUAAUAAUCCUGGGUCCAUGCUCCCAGAAAGAUAAAGAAUAGGAAAGCUUUCAAGGGAAGGGAUGGGAUAUGGAAGUCUGGUAGUGGGAAUUGUGUGGAAUUUUACCCUUCUUAUCCUGUGGUCCUGUUGAUAUUUUUUAUUUUAUAAAUAAAU